rnacentral:rRNA from 1 species
AAGGGAGCUUGCUCCCGGAUGUUAGCGGCGGACGGGUGAGUAACACGUGGGUAACCUGCCUGUAAGACUGGGAUAACUCCGGGAAACCGGAGCUAAUACCGGAUAGUUCCUUGAACCGCAUGGUUCAAGGAUGAAAGACGGUUUCGGCUGUCACUUACAGAUGGACCCGCGGCGCAUUAGCUAGUUGGUGAGGUAACGGCUCACCAAGGCGACGAUGCGUAGCCGACCUGAGAGGGUGAUCGGCCACACUGGGACUGAGACACGGCCCAGACUCCUACGGGAGGCAGCAGUAGGGAAUCUUCCGCAAUGGACGAAAGUCUGACGGAGCAACGCCGCGUGAGUGAUGAAGGUUUUCGGAUCGUAAAGCUCUGUUGUUAGGGAAGAACAAGUGCAAGAGUAACUGCUUGCACCUUGACGGUACCUAACCAGAAAGCCACGGCUAACUACGUGCCAGCAGCCGCGGUAAUACGUAGGUGGCAAGCGUUGUCCGGAAUUAUUGGGCGUAAAGGGCUCGCAGGCGGUUUCUUAAGUCUGAUGUGAAAGCCCCCGGCUCAACCGGGGAGGGUCAUUGGAAACUGGGAAACUUGAGUGCAGAAGAGGAGAGUGGAAUUCCACGUGUAGCGGUGAAAUGCGUAGAGAUGUGGAGGAACACCAGUGGCGAAGGCGACUCUCUGGUCUGUAACUGAC